CAAUAGCGUAUAUUAAAGUUGUUGCGGUUAAAAAGCUCGUAGUUGGAUUUCUGCCGAGGACGACCGGUCCGCCCUCUGGGUGAGUAUCUGGCUCGGCCUGGGCAUCUUCUUGGAGAACGUAGCUGCACUUGACUGUGUGGUGCGGUAUCCAGGACUUUUACUUUGAGGAAAUUAGAGUGUUUCAAGCAGGCUUACGCCUUGAAUACAUUAGCAUGGAAUAAUAAGAUAGGACCUCGGUUCUAUUUUGUUGGUUUCUAGAGCUGAGGUAAUGAUUAAUAGGGAUAGUUGGGGGCAUUCGUAUUUAACUGUCAGAGGUGAAAUUCUUGUAUUUGUUAAAGACGGACUACUGCGAAAGCAUUUGCCAAGGAUGUUUUCAUUGA
rnacentral:rRNA from 1 species